GAAUUUUAUAUAAGUAGUAAAAAAAGAAUUAAUAAUUUUUAUAAAAAUUAUUAUUUAUAUUUUGUUGGGAGGAUAGUUAAAUUUUAUAAACUUUAAUUAGAAUAAGAUAUUGAUUAAUAAAAAUAUUAAGUAUAUUUUUUAAUUAAAUGUAUUAAGAAUUAAUUACCUUAGGGAUAACAGCAUGAAAUUUUUAGAAAGAUCUUAUUAAUAAAAAUAUUUGU
rnacentral:rRNA from 1 species